GUUGUUAUAUGUUCACGGGGUUUUGUGUCGCCUUAUUUUGGUUAAAAGAAUAAUAAGGCACCAAAAUUCUGUGAAUAAAUAUUACAACC
rnacentral:miRNA from 1 species